UCCUACUGUCAGUCACUAUAGUUUGAUCUGUCCUUCACAUUUUGUAAAAACAGAGCCAUAUAUUACUAAUGACAUUUUUUACUUAGCAUAAAGUUUUCAAAACUUUUUCACGAUGAAAUGUGAUUGAAUAAUAAUCUUCUGUUGCAUGGAUGCAUAUAAGGAACUGGAAUUAUCCCAUUAUGUGCUCCUCUCUGCUGAAGAAAGCAGAAGAAAUGCCCCGUUUCUACGUCUACUCACUCAGGAACUUGGCACCAAAUGAUUGGCAGUAUGAGGGCAACCAGCCUCAGGUCUCUUCUGCCUGACCUUCUCCAUAGGGAACUCUCUGUUUGGUCAAGACUGGUGCAGCCAGAACUCCAAAGUUCUUGGCAGUACCACAUCACAGGUGGAGCUCCAUGACAUCAUUGGGUGCUGCACAGUAGAGUGUCUUAGCCACACCUGCUCAGAAUGCAGCCUCAAAGUCGCCGCAACUGGAUGGGAAAUAACUUCCCAUCUGCACUUCUCUGGAAGAGAAAAAGGGAAGAAACCAGGGUUCAUGUCUACACCACUCCUUGAGUGGAGCAGAGGGGCACGGGAGGCUGCAGUUCGUGGCUUACAUAGCACAGAUUUGCCUGCUCUUUAUCAGAACGUAGUUGGUUUUGAGAGAAAUACUUCUUAAUUUACAUUAUGUCUAUAGGACCAUUUUCACAAAUCUUGGGUUAGUUUUGUUUAGUUUUGAUUUCUUUUCAAAAAUGUUUUAUUAGGAGGAAGACUUCCCAACACCUCCCCUUGUCAUUCUAGAGAACUCCUGGCCUCUUCAGUUUUAUCUUUUCAAUUACACUGAGUCAGUUUCAUUAAUGAAAAGCUGACCCAACAAUACACCAUAUUCCAAGAUUUUAUAUGGUAACAAUAUAUUUCAGGAUACUAAUUACUACAUUAAUG